GACGAACGCUGGCGGCGUGCCUAAUACAUGCAAGUCGAGCGCAGGAAGCCGUCUGAACCCUUCGGGGGGACGACGGUGGAAUGAGCGGCGGACGGGUGAGUAACACGUAAAGAACCUGCCCAUAGGUCUGGGAUAACCACGAGAAAUCGGGGCUAAUACCGGAUGUGUCAUCGGACCGCAUGGUCCGCCGAUGAAAGGCGCCCCGGCGUCGCCCAUGGAUGGCUUUGCGGUUCAUUAGCUAGGUGGUGGGGUAACGGCCCACCAAGGCGACGAUGCAUAGCCGACCUGAGAGGGUGAUCGGCCACACUGGGACUGAGACACGGCCCAGACUCCUACGGGAGGCAGCAGUAGGGAAUCUUCCACAAUGGACGAAAGUCUGAUGGAGCAACGCCGCGUGAACGAUGAAGGCUUGCGGGUCGUAAAGUUCUGUUGUAAGGGAAGAACAAGUGCCGCAGGCAAUGGCGGCACCUUGACGGUACCUUGCGAGAAAGCCACGGCUAACUACGUGCCAGCCGCCGCCGUAA
rnacentral:rRNA from 1 species